UCCAGGAUGUUGAGAAGACACAGUGAGCCA
rnacentral:piRNA from 1 species